rnacentral:lncRNA from 1 species
GCUUUAUAAGGGAGACAAAUUACAAACUCUGCCCAUAUUGCAGGGACUGAGAAGAGGAUCUAUGCUCUUGCCAUUUAUUUAAAUAUAAUUUUCUAUAAUAAAAAUACAAGCCCUCUAGCAUCAUGUUUCUUUCUUUGUUCAUCUCAAGUUGGUGUAUCAGCUCAGUUAAGAAAGUUGCACCCAUGAGCCUUUCUCAGUGUACCGGACACGGUACAAACACAGCACAGCUUCAUCAAAAGAUCACAGGUACGGUUGGGGUUUUUCUAGAUUUGAUUCUGAUAUGUAAAGAUGAACCAGUCAGGAAUGCAGAGAUGGAAGGCAACUUACAUGACAAAAUGAAAGAGCUCAGUAAGAGAAAAAGAAGAGAAAAUAGCUGGAAAAUCAGCAAGAUAUAAAUGGAUGAGUAACAAGAAUUACAAUAAAACAUUCAAUAGGUAAAACUGCA